CGCGCCUAACGGCGUGCC
rnacentral:snRNA from 1 species